rnacentral:rRNA from 1 species
GGGGGUGCCAGCAGCCGCGGUAAUUCCAGCUCCAAUAGCGUAUAUUAAAGUUGUUGCAGUUAAAAAGCUGGUAGUUGAAUUUCGGGGUUUUACCGUUGGUCGGGCAAUGGUAUGUACUGGCGGAGGGAUUUCUACCUUCUGGGGACCGGUCAUGUC